rnacentral:tRNA from 1 species
GCCGAUGUGGUGAAAUUGGUAGACACGCCAUCUUGAGGGGGUGGUGGGGUAACCCGUGCCGGUUCGACUCCGGCCAUCGGCACCA